rnacentral:pre_miRNA from 1 species
UGCAGUGCUUUACCUGGGUGGAUGUCAGACACAUGAUAAUGAAAAGUGCAUGACACCACACCAGGUAGAGGAAAGCUCA